rnacentral:rRNA from 1 species
AUACGAAGGGUGCAAGCGUUACUCGGAAUCACUGGGCGUAAAGCGCGCGCAGGCGGCUAUUUAAGUUGGAUGUGAAAGCCUACGGCUCAACCGUAGAACUGCAUCCAAAACUAUUUAGCUAGAGUGUGGGAGAGGAAGAUGGAAUUAGUUGUGUAGGGGUAAAAUCCGUAGAGAUAACUAGGAAUACCAAAAGCGAAGGCAAUCUUCUGGAACACUACUGACGCUGCGGCGCGAAAGCGUGGGGAGCAAACAGGAUUAGAAACCCUAGUAGUCC